rnacentral:ncRNA from 1 species
ACAGUACAAACUGAUCAGGCCGUAAAUUUUGUUGAAAUUUAUGGAGCCGGGCCUUUGGGCAACAGGGAAUUAUACCUGUGGGACAGU